rnacentral:rRNA from 1 species
CUACGGGAGCUCCAGUGGGGAAUCUUAGACAAUGGGCGCAAGCCUGAUCUAGCCAUGCCGCGUGAGCGAUGAAGGCCUUAGGGUUGUAAAGCUCUUUCAGCGAGGAAGAUAUGACUGUACUCGCAGAAGAAGCCCCGGCUAACUCCGUGCCAGCAGCCGCGGUAAUACGGAGGGGGCUAGCGUUGUUCGGAAUUACUGGGCGUAAAGCGCACGUAGGCGGAUCAGAAAGUCAGAGGUGAAAUCCCAGGGCUCAACCUUGGAACUGCCUUUGCAACUCCUGAUCUUGAGUUCGAGAGAGGUGAGUGGAAUUCCGAGUGUAGAGGUGAAAUUCGUAGAUAUUCGGAGGAACACCAGUGGCGAAGGCGGCUCACUGGCUCGAUACUGACGCUGAGGUGCGAAAGCGUGGGGAGCAAACAGGAUUAGAUACCCCUGUAGUC